UUAAUAUGUGUUCCUCAUCAUUUACAGAUCACAGGUUUGGUAAACCAGCUUUCAAAACCAGCAGGCCAAGUGGUGGUCAGGUCAGCCCAUAAGGCUAUUUCCAUUCCUUCCUUUUCCACCAACCUCACUCCUUGCUGUCCCUUCCCACACCCUAUACUUCAUCAAUUUUCUUCUUUAAUCCCAGACAUUCUUUUUUACCUUCUUGUCAUGAUUUCAUCAUUUCUAACCUCUUCCCUUCCCACAAACCUUCCAAUCCCCUCCCUAUUUUGCCCUUCUACACACCAAUUUCCAAACCUUCUCAACUUUUCACCUCUACCUCUCACACUUUGCUACCCUCCAACUCCCUCUCUCUCCUUUCCUUGCAAAUCCAAUUUUACCCCUUUCUCUCUCCCCCCCCCCUUUAUUAGCUUUUCCUUUACAUCAAACCUUUCCAAACCCUUCUUUCCACUUACCACCCCAUUCAUUCACCUUCUCUUCCUUCUCACCCCUUAUGGCCUUCCCACCUUAUCUUCCAAACUUGCCCUUUUUUUCUGGCCUUCAUGUUCUUCCAUCACUUCUACACCCCUCAAGCUCUCAAAUCUUUUUCUAUUCCCUUCCCUUUCUGACUAAUUCCUCACCAUCACACCUUUUCCCAUCCUUUCUCACCCCCUUCCAACCUCAUCUCCUAUGUUCUGUUGGUUGGGAUGUCAUGGGAAAGAUGGUGUGAGAAGGAACGGGACGGGAAGGAAGGGUGGGUUCCUAACCUUCCCGACUCUUUUCACAUCAUCUUUCUCAUCCCACAUCUUUGCGCCUCUCCUGACCUCUUUUUCCUAACAUUAAGGAAAGAGGGUGUCAGAAAGAGAUGUAGAGAGGUGGGGAAGAAUAGAGCUCAGAUGGGAGGGGGAAGGGGUGGAGGGGUUGAGAUGGGAAGGGACCCACUCUCCCUUCCCAUUCUAACCCUCUCCGCCUCUUUCACCCCUUCCGUCUCUUUUCAUCCUUUUCUUCACAUACCUUCUCUACGUCCUCCUUUCCUUUCCUUUCUUCUCUUUCCUCCCUUUUUUCUCCUUUCCACCUCUUCUCUCUCCACCCUUCUUCUUCCUUUCCUACUUCUUUGCUUUCUAUCCCCAUACUCCCACCACUCCUUCUUUCUCUCCUCCACCAUUUCUUCGUUCCCACCCUUCCGGUUUGGCCCAGCUUCCGUCUCUUCCUUUGACCCUUCCUGCCAUCCUCGUCUUACUCUUUCUCUUCCAAAUGUCAUAUGAUAACUAGGAAUAAGGCUUUAGUGUUGGUGCCGCACUUCUUCUCCCUGCACGAGUCGAGCUGAUGUAAACAGACUGUCAGAAGGUGGAAUGGGUAACAGUGGGGAUGAGUUAGCGGUUGCGGCGGCGACACAGUAGUCAGCCUCUGGCGGUACUGGACUGUCGGAUGGACAAAAGGCCAAGAAGCCCCACCACCGUUUAUCUCUCAUGUGAACCUCGGACCGCUUACGUCACGACAGACAUAGCGCAGGGUCAGGUCGGACUGCGGGACUAUCACAGAGUGCUCCUCGCUUCAUCAUCAGCAGCUGUCUGGUCGCAGACAGCAGAGCUCGAGGCUGGUAGAUAAGCGUUGGUCCUCAUUAGGCGUGGUCAAGCUCUGACCGCUGUUACGGCCUAAGAGGUGAGGACGAGACACGUGGUGACACAUGGCAGUGCCAGAGUCUCUGCGCUCAUGAUGGGGGCCGCUACGAUCGACGGGGUGACAUCAAAGGACAGAGGCUGGUAGAUAAGUGUUGGUCCUUGUCAGGCGCUGUUAAGCUUGAGACAGCAGUCCGGCCUACAGGACGAGACAGACACAUGGUGGCACACGGCAGUGCCAGAGUGCACAACGUUUCAUCAUCAGCAGCUGUCUGGUCGCAGACAGUAGAGCUCGAGGCUGGUAGAUAAGCGUUGGUCCUCAUUAGGCGUGGUCAAGCUCUGACCGCUGUCACGGCCUAAGAGGUGAGGAUGAGACAUGUGGUGGCAGAUGGCAGUGCCAGAGUCUCUGCGCUCGUGACGGAGGAUACGACAACUUGACAAGAGAUUUGUGUGAAGAUAUAAGUGGCGAGUGUAUGUUACACAAGUGUAGUGUGCUAUGUGUACAGGUAAUUAGUGGCUCAUGAUACCUGGACUAGGCAUAGGGAAGUAACGGGACACCUAGAGAGCGGCCCUAUUUGAAAUUGUAUAAUCAUAUAAAUUGAGUUGUCAGCCUCUCGAUCAUUAAUAACCUUCUUUAUCACACUAAAUUGCCUUGUGUUGGUUAUUGGGUAUGCGCGCUGGUGGCUCAAGAGUCAAGUGUAAUUAGCAAUCUUGUGUAAGUGUGCGUGUACGGUAAAUGUCGGAGUUGGUAGAGGUGUCGAGAGUGUGAUUAGCCCGAGGCAACGGCAAUCGCAACCUCUGACCAUCUUCACGUGCUCAUUCCCCGAAGUUCACGACAAUUGCGAGCAGCAAAGAAUCGUUGUCUACACACUGGGUUCUCGAGGAAUAAAAUUGUAAUAGAGAUCUCUUCAAGGCUGUUCAUAUUCUCCGUUGUGAGUUGUCUUGGAAUCGGGACUGCUCCAGCACAACUGACUCAAUAGGUGCAUAAGACCCGCUCAGUCACAGAGUGCACAACGCUUCAUCACCAGAGUAACUGUUUGGUCGCAAACAGUAGAGGCUGAGGCUGGAAGAUAAGUGUUGGUCCUUGUUAGGCGCUGUUAAGCUUUAGACAGCAGUCCGGCCUAAAGGACGAGACAGACACAUGGUGGCACACAGCAGUGCCAGUGCUCAUCGCUUCAUCACCAGCAGCUGUCUGGUCGCAGACAGUAGAGCUCGAGGCUGGUAGAUAAGCGUUGGUCCUCGUUAGGCGUGGUCAAGCUCUGACCGCUGUGACGGCCUAAGAGGUGAGGAUGAGACACGUGGUGACACACGGCGGUGCCCGAGUCUCUGCGCUCGUGACUGAGGCGGCUACGAUCGACGGAGGAUAUGACAACAUGACAAGAGACUUGUGGGAAGAGAUAAGUGGCGAAUGUGUGUUCGACAAGUUCUUGUGCUGUGUGUAGUAGUAAAGGUAAUGAUACCUGGACUAGGCAUAGGGAAGUAACGGGACACCUAGAGAGCGGCCAUAUUUGAAAUUGUAUAAUCUUGUAAAUUGAUUUGUAAACCUCUCGAUCAUUAAUAGCCUUCUUUAUUACAAUAAAUUGCCUUCUGUUGGUUAUUGUAGAUGCGCGCUGGGGGCUCAAGAGUCAAGUAAAGUAUAAUUAGCAAUUUAGUUUAAGUGUACACGUACGGUAAAUGUCGGAGUGAGUUGGUAGAGGUGUCGAGAGUGUGAUCAGCCCGAGACAACGGCAAUCGCAACCUCUGACCGUCUUCGCGUGUUCAUUCUCCUGAGUUCACGACACCGGGUUCCAUUACUUUCUGCCGGUUCCAAUCGCUAUCUUCCUUUCCAGUCCUCUUCCUACCCGCCCGUUUCUUCCUACCUUUCUUUUCUACUCACUACUUUCUCACCCCUUUCCAACCUCUUUCCUGCACUUCACGUUUAUCUCCCCCUAUCUUUUGUCUCCUCCUUUUCACCUUCUUUCUAUAUCCCUUCUCUUCCCUCUCACUCUUUCCUUCUCAAUUUGCUUCCCUUUGGUCCAGCUCUUUUCUGGACUCUCCUUUCCUGUUCUCCCACCCUUUGCAACACGUUCAUCUCUUUUUUCUGUUCUCCUCUAACACUUUCAUCCACUUUCCUAACCACUUCUUCCUUUCCCUUAUUUUCAUGUCCCUCCUCUUCCCUCAAACACGUUAGUCUCUUUCCUCCCUUCCUACCCUUUCUACUUUCCCUCUGUUCUCUCUUAACCUUUCUCUCAGUUUCCCCUUCACCUCUCAAGAGUGUGGGGCUCUACUGCUGGGGGAAGCAGCCACCAACGUCGCCACCUAAUGUUGCACGUGACUACGACUAUCAACUGACCCCAACAACAGAUGGGUAGGAGAGGACAGUGACUUUGUCCACCAAGACAUCAACGAUCACCUGACACGGAUUAUGGUGGUCAGUGACCACGUCGAGUAAAGCAGCAGCGGCUACCAGGAUAUACUUACAGGUUUCUCGCUACUCCACCAACUCUUUCUCGACUAAUGAGACUGGAUUAAAAAACUGGCGUGACCACCACUGCCAUCAACGUGGCCAGCUCAUGUUGCUCGGUGAUUACGACUAUCACACCAUCGACCUCAACAACAGCUGGCUAGGAAAGGACGACGACUGCGCCGAACAAAGCAACGGCGGCUACCCAAGGGAUGUAUUCCUUUCCUAUUCCUUGCACUGUUUUCCUUCCUCUCUCUCCUUCCUAUCCUUUGGUACAUCGCAAACAAUCUUUUCAAAACAAUUUGUAUUUCGUUCCCCUAAGUGGCACCCAGGUGGUAUCUUAAAUCUUAACCAAUAACAAAAACUAAGAGGGCUUAAAAAAUCUCAAAAACCAAUAAAAUGUCAAAAUUAGAUAUAUAAACUUUAAUUUUUUUGUUAAUUUAUGAAACAGAAAUGAAUUAGAUGCAAAAAUGCAAACGUUAAGGGCCUAAAAAAAUCUUUCCGUUUUGUGGUUGAUAAAAAUAUAUUAAAACCUUUGAAAUUAACACAAAUCUGAACGAAAAUAUGAGUAAACACGAUGCCUUGCUAGUAGGUCUGGGUCCACCGCUUUCCGCACCAAGUGGUGUAAAAUGGCGGGAGCCGAAGCCAUAUGGCAUCUGGAACUAUAUAUAUAUAACCAAUAAGAGUUAUAAACAUAAGGGUAACAAAAUGCUUAUGUAUAUAUGUGGUUGCAAAGAAAUUCAUAAAACCUUUGAGGGGAAAAUGUGAAUAAUGGCGAGAGUGGCAGCCACAUGGCAUCUCCAUGAAAAGUUGAAAACUUACAUGGCUUACAAAAGGCUUGUCCAUUUAUGUGGUUAAAAAAUCAGAGCAUCUCACACAACCAAUACAAGUUUGAAGCUGUAAGAGCGCUUGCAAAAACUUGGCGAUUUAUGUGUCGAUAAAGCAAAUCGUUAAAUACUUACAAAAACAAAACUAUGUGAAACAGAAAUGAGAAGAUGCCUCUACUUCGCCAUUAAGUCUAUGUCAACAACUGCCCACACAAAGCGAUACAAAAAUGGCGGGAGUGGCAGCAAACUGGCAUCUCAAGGUUUUAAUCAUUGAUUGGUUUUAAGAGGCAACAAAGUGCUUAUCCCUUAUGUGGUUAAUCAUUUUUUUUUUAAAACUUACAAAAUGAUCUCUAAAACGGAGAUGAAUAAGAUGCUUGCACUUUGCCAUGCUAGAAGGUCUGUGUCGACCGCUUCCUGCACUAAUGGCGAAAGCGGCGGUCACAUGGCAUCUGGAACUAUCCAAUACGAGUUAUAAACAUAAUGAGCAACAAAAUACUUAUGCGUAUGUGUGGUUGCAAAAAAGAAAAUCACAAAACCUUUGAGGGAAAAGUCUAUAUAACAGGAAUGAUACGGUGCCUACACCUUGUCAUGAUAAGUCUGUGUCGACUGUUUCCCACACCAUGCAAUGCAAUAGGGCGCCAUUUUGCAUUGCUUGGUGUGGGAAGCUGCAGCCAACUGGUAACUUCUUGUAGGAUAACGGAUGUACGUCACAGGUCUCUGGAUGCUAUUUGAACAGAGGCGAGCGAAGGUCACCUCAAGUACGAGUGAUUGUUCAGAGGGGAGUACAAGGUGGGGCGUGAAGCUGUGUGCGUUAAAGGGAUAUUAUAGUUUGUUUGCUGUUGUGUUUUCGUUUUUUGGUUUUUGUUUUUUGUUGUUUUUUUGCUUCUUUUGUUGUUGUUUUUGGACUGUUUUAUAUAAGUGUCGGGUAUGGAGCAGCGAGCAGACGGAGGGCGAGUGACGUCACCGUUUGUGUUUAGCUCCGCCUACAGGUCCGCCAUUUUGUUAUGGUCGUCAAGAGUUACGCGAUAAGAAAUAUGCACUCAAACCAAUAAAGAGUUAAAAACAUAAAGGGGUAACAAAAUAUUUGAAUUAGAAGCAAAAAUGCAAACAGAAAGAGACACAAAAUCCUUCCGUUUUGUGGUUCAAGGUUGAUUAAAAAAAAAUCCAUUAAAAUCUGUAAAGACCGCUUCCCGCACCAAGCAAUUCAAAAUGGUGGAAGCGGCUGCCAACUGCAUCUCAAACUAAACAAUAAAGAGUUAUAAACAUGUGGUUGCAAAAAAAAAACAAAAACUCAUAAAACCUUUGACAGAGAGUUUUACUAAAUAUGAAUGAAUACGAUGCCUACACUUCGCCAUGCUAGUAGGUCUGGAUCGACCGCUUCCCGCACCAUGUGAUGAAUAAUGGCGGGAGCGGCAGACACAUGGCAUCUGGUACUAACCAAUGAAAAGUUAAAAACGUAUUUUUUAUGGUUAUUUUUAAGGUCUUAAUAAAAUUACUUAUCACAUUAAUGGAGAAGCCUACUGCGCUGUGCAAGGUCCGUGUCCAUCUCUUUCCUCCCAAGACGAUACGAAAUGGCGGAAGCGGCAGCCGUAUAGCAUGUCUAGCUAUCCACUCAAAUAUUAACUUACAAGGCUAGGUUCUAUAUUCAUAACAAAAAAUUUUGAAAUAGCAAUAGAUUAAAUGAAAAAUUGCAAACGUAAGAGGCUUAAAAUGGUACAUAUUUACAUGGAUGACAAAAUAAAUCCCUUAGAAAAAUAUGAACAAGAAAUGAAGAAGAUGCCUCCACCUUGCCAUCCUAGUCAAUCUGUCGAUCGCUUUUCGCUUACCAAAUGAUGCGAAAAUAGCGGGAGAGGCAACCACAUGGCACUUCAAGGUAACCCAUGCAAAGUUAAAAAACUUAAUAGGCUUUCGAAAUGCUUAUACAUUUAUUUGGUUAUAAACCCUUAGAAACAAACAAUAUUUUAAACAUAUAAAAAUUACAAAUGAAUGAGGUGAUGAUCCAUUGUAGAAGGUGUCAUCAAAAAUGGUGCAACAAUGUCGGGAGCGGCAAUCACAGGGUAUCUUGAACUGGCCAAUUAAAAAUUAAAUGUUGGGGACAUCGUCUAGAGAUGCUAGGCAGAGCACAUUAACCAGAGGAACGAAAAGUACUAGCAGUGGGUCACGUGGCACCCUGACCAUGCCUACUAUGCCACAAUGUCCGUCUGGUUAAUAGUCGAACCCUAAGUUUGGUGCAAUGUAUGUGAGUAACUUGGGACACUUGGUACCUCGAUCUUGCGCGUGAUAAGGCACGAUAACCACAUCGAUUCUGUCACGUGGCCCAGUUUUUAUGUAAAUUUUUAUGUAAAUGUUAACAGACUGUUCUUUUGUGAAGUUGGUACCGCGGACUUUUUCUUUGGUUGUUCUGUGCAAUCUUGCUACACAAAGGUUUGUGCGCUUCAGCUGUCCACGUCUACCGACCUUAAUUAAUACACGUGGCCUCUGACCGAUAAUCUGUGAAAAAUGUCAACCAUCUUUGCAGUGUCAUAGAUAGUUGUUAUAGUUUCAAGAUUAGUUGCUUGGUGCCUUUGGGGUAACCCUUCUCAUUUUUUUUCUGUUUCAUCCGAGACGUCUAUUCAACAAAACUGCGGCCAAGAAAGUGGAUUCACGUGGACGGCUGAGGAAACAUAAGAUGAAAAUUGCAAUACAUCGGUGGUUUGGAGAUCAUUCGGGGACAAACUCUGCCGACAAGAGGAAUAAAGAAACUGCAAUGGAAGGAAUGGAAAACCAGUCCAGUCAAUUCUACAAGGGAACAAAAGGAGGACAGCGUGUAUCUUCUGAGGGGAAACCUAUCAUAGUGGCCACUAUUCAUCGGACAAAGUUCCGUGACGUCAUCCCAUUCCUCUGGUAUCAAGUAUACAGAUGCCAGGACAAACAUGAGAAACUUUACAUUUUUGGCGUGGAACUGAGAAUUGUGAGAGGAUGUAGUUAGCACUGAGUUUUCUCUGUGCGAGUUGUCUAAGUAGAAUUAUUUGGUUUUUACACUGUGUUGGAGAGUAUUCGUGUUAUUUGUGACCUGACCAGAACUAGCUUUAAAAAAAAAACUAACAAAGAAGAAGAACAGAGAAGCAGACAGCGGGCACUUCAGUAAAAGACGAGAUGCCCAUGGACAGGUCGUUGUUUUGUGUUGUUGAAAGAACGCGUGUGGACGCCGUGUGUGUGUGUGUGUUGCUCUUGUGAGAGUAGCGUCCGUGACAGUCACGUCUCAGUCACGUGAUCGACAGACUCUUUUAAAUGAAGUGUUCUCAACCAACUGCAGUUUCUGGCACAUCCAAUAGUCAGUUAAAAAUAGGAAAACUUACAAAAGACAUCAGACCAUGAAAACUUUUUAUUGGCUCUCUUUUUGAAGCUAUUUGAUAGUUCACUGUCUGUGUUUCACGGUGUUCAUGAACCCAGUAGGACUGUAACAUCCUAAAUAAGCCUAAAAUGACGUCAUGCUGCAUCAUUUUGCAUAAUAACGUCAUGCACACGUCAUCCAUUGCAAAAGAAGUGGAGAAUAGUCUGCCCCAGCAUGUCGUCUGCAUUGAGGCAAGUUCAGUAAGGUGAGGGACUUCCUAUUCCAGAACCUCCAGCAGAAUAUUCUCUUGAUUCAGCUGAUGAUAACGAGGGUGGGCCGACCUGUUCUUCUCCUGGUCAGUCAGCAUGCAGUGAUCCAGAUUUUCACUGUUGUGUAUUAUCAACCCCACAAAGAAUAACACCGGAAGAAUCUUAAUGACCUGGUUCGUAUCCAAGUACAUGGCAGAAUUGUCCAGUUCUAGACUCCGACAGUGAAAUCUUCUACAAGAUGUCACAACUACUUCAGAUCGAAAGCGCCACCAGCAGUUAGAGCCUUUCUUCAGAAUGGAAGGCAAUCUGUUUCGAUACUGAGGGCCUCGUGAAUGCCUUAGAAAUAACUCAUGGCCUACAAGAAUGGAGACUAUUUGUAGACUCUUCGAAACUGGCUGUGCUCUUGCACAAUGGAAACCGUCUUCCAUUUAUUCCAGUAGCGCACGCAGGAAAGAGAGGUACGAUAACUUAAGGCAGCUAUUGAAUUCCAUUGAGUAUAAUAAGUACAGCUAGCACUUCUGAGGUGAUUUCAAGAUUGCUGCCCUUUUAACGGGACUGCAGCAGGGACCAGCUGUGGUCGAGGCUCACAAAAUCCUACUAUACCACUCCUUCAUUAGGUUUGAUGAAGAACUUCGUGAAAGCCAUGGACCGGACUUCGCCGGCUUUCCGAUACCUACAGAAACAAUUCCCUCACUCAGCGAGGCAAAGAUUAAAGAGGGAGAUUUUGUGGGUCCUCAGAUUUGAGAGCUCUUCAAACAUGACCAGUUCAACAACUUGCUAGCAGGAUGAUAUGAAACAAGCAUCUUUCUGGCCUAGUGUCUACACACUUUCUCGGGAAUGUUAGGACAGAAAACUUACAAGUAACAGUAUCAGAAACUUGGCUGCAAUAUGUCUCUAAAGAUCAACUUCCUUCAUUCCCAUCUGGAUUUUUUUCAGGACAACUGUGGUAUGGUUAGUGAUAAACAUGGCCAACGCUUUCAUCACGAUAUCCCAACAGUGGAAAAAAGAUACCAUGGAAAAUUGCCCACUGCAAUGCUCGCUGACUACUGCUGGACAAUCCCCCAGAGAUGCUUCCUAACAUCUGUACAAGAGACAGGCAAAGAAAUCUCAGACGUAGUCGAUGACUUCAUUUGUUACAGGUAUUAACCAAAGUUCCUUUGCUAUUAGCAUGCAUUUCGUGAAGUACACUGUACUCAAUAAUUGUUGUAGAUUACACACACACAAAAACUAGAGCCAAUUAUGCAUUUUGGUUGACAUAUUCUUGUUGAGCACAUAAAUAUCGUUAAGAAAUAACUAUUUGUUUUCAGUAACAUGACUUUUGACCAGUAUAAUUGAGUCCUUGCGGUCAGAGAGUUUCAAACACUUUAUUUACAGUUCAUACAAUGGUCUCCCUCACUUGUAAAAAGCAGGAACGUUGGCAAUCGGCGACACACGCCGGAACACGAGGAACAACGACACACAGCCUUGCUGUGUUAAUGACAGGCGAUAGCCGUUGGGCCACCGGACCACUCUCCUAAUAUUAAAAGGAGUCUGUCCCCGUAUCAUUUAGAUACAUAAAAUACAUUGUGCAAAACACAAAAA